UCCGGUUGAUCCUGCCAGAUCCGACUGCUAUCCGGGUAAGACUAAGCCAUGCAAGUUGAAUGGAGUGGCUGCAUUCCAUAGCAUACUGCUCAGUAACAAGUGAUCAACUUACCCUUUAGUGGGGGAUAACCUCGGGAAACUGAGGCUAAUACCCCAUAGUUGAAAAUGCCUGGAAUGGUUUUUCAUCGAAAGAUACAUUGAAAUGUCAAUGAUUCGCUAAAGGAUAGGAUCGCUCUCGAUUAUGGUUGUUGGCGAGGUAAUGGCUCACCAAGCCUAUGAUCGAUAAGGGCCGUGAGAGCGGGAGCCCUGAGAUGGACACUGAGACAAUGGUCCAGGCCUUACGAGGCGCAGCAGGCGCGAAACCUUUACCAUGCACGAAAGUGUGAUAAGGUUACCCGGAGUGCCCAGAGAAAAACUGUGGGCUGUUAUAGGUGUGUAGAUAACCCUAUGAGAAAGGAGAGGGCAAGGCUGGUGCCAGCCGCCGCGGUAAAACCAGCUCUUCAAGUGGUCGGGACUUUUAUUGGGCUUAAAGUGUCCGUAGCCGGUUUGGUAAGUUCCUGGUUAAAUCUGACAGCUUAACUGUCACUUGGCUAGGAAUACUGCCUUACUAGAGGGUGGGAAAGGUUUGGGGUACUCCAGGGGUAGCGGUGAAAUGCGAUAAUCCUUGGGGGACCACCAGUGGCGAAGGCGCCAGACUGGAACACGCCUGACGGUGAGGGACGAAAGCCAGGGGAGCGAACGGGAUUAGAUACCCCGGCAGUCCUGGCUGUAAACGAUGCGUGCUAGGUGUUGGUAGGGCUAUGAGCCGUAUCAGUGCCGUAGGGAAACUGUUAAGCGCGCCGCCUGGGAAGUACGCUCGCAAGAGUGAAACUUAAAGGAAUUGGCGGGGGAGCACAAGGCG
rnacentral:rRNA from 1 species